AUAACUAAAUAUCUCCCAGUGGCGCUUGUCUACACAAAUAACCGCUGAAUAUUUACAGAGUGCUUCGCCUAAUAUAAAAACCACGUCAGUCAUCUUGAUGAGUCGGCGUUGGGGUCGUUUUCUCGAUCAAUGAUUGGUUCCUUUGGACGACGAUUCGACAAAGUCCUCGUCAAACGCUGCGUCAAAUAGCCCGAAGAGGUUGAGUAGAGAAUAUCGAAGGGGCUGGCGGUAAUUACAGGAAGCCGACGGAAUUCUUUGUUCGCCUGUACGUUUUUCAGUUGCGUUCUACACUUUUUCGAAGAGACAGAAAUGUCUGUAUCUCCCACCUCCCUUGUACAAUAAAAAUAGGGUAGAAUUAACAUGAGAUUGUCUUACAGGCAUUGCCCUUUCUUUCUUUCUUAGCUGCCCCCCACCCAAAUAAACAAAAAGUCUUCUAAUGUCGAAGGAACUGAGAGACAAGGAUCUGUCCUAAUUGUCAAGUGUGCCUUGGAUAUCAGAUACGAACACAGCUCGUGGGGUUUCUGGAAAUGAAAAGGAAAUGACGCCUGUCAUGAUGCUGACACAAAUCGUAGUCGUCCUCGUUUUCCUUCGAGUAGAACCCAUCAGCAGCCUGACAGUGGUAAGGUUCCAGGAAGACCGGCUGCCCAGAACAGACACGACCGCCAUUUACAAAGGCCAACUGGACCGAGGCAGGAAGAUGGACUCUGUCACCCUCUGUGCACGAUUCCAGUUCUUCAUCCUUCACGGAUGGGCAACUUUCUUCCACCUUCGAGAUACGCAGGGAAGGAUUAUGAUGCUGA